rnacentral:lncRNA from 1 species
CGCUCCCACGUGCGUGCCUGCUUCUCAUCGUGCCUUACGUCAGAUAAACAACACAGUGACAUAGACAGAAACGGACGAGCUCAUUAGUCAAAAAUACCAAGAUCUUCACUGUAAUUACCACUUCCUGACGUCCUCACGUACAAGUCGUCUAAACCCCAGAGUUUUGCAGUACAAAUCCUGCUGACCAACACAUUUCGAGCCUUUAAGUUGCAGUGGUGAAGAUCUUUGCCAUGGAGAAAGUCCUACAGGGAAAGAAGAAUGAAAG